CCUACGGGUGGCAGCAGUGAGGAAUAUUGGUCAAUGGGCGCGAGCCUGAACCAGCCAAGCCGCGUGAAGGAUGACUGCCCUACGGGUUGUAAACUUCUUUUUUAAAGGAAUAAAGUGAGGCACGUGUCCCCUUUUGUAUGUACUUUAUGAAUAAGCAUCGGCUAACUCCGUGCCAGCAGCCGCGGUAAUACGGAGGAUCCGAGCGUUAUCCGGAUUUAUUGGGUUUAAAGGGAGCGUAGAUGGGUUGUUAAGUCAGUUGUGAAAGUUUGCGGCUCAACCGUAAAAUUGCAAUUGAUCCUGGCAGUCUUGAGUACGGUUGAGGUAUGCGGAAUGCGUGGUGUAGCGGUGAAAUGCUUAGAUAUCACGAAGAACUCCGAUUGCGAAGGCAGCUUGCUAGACUGCCACUGACAUUGAGGCUCGAAAGUGUGGGUAUCAAACAGGAUUAGAUACCCGUGUAGUC
rnacentral:rRNA from 1 species